GCAUAUAAGCGGAGGAAAGGAAACCAACAGGGAUUGCCCCAGUAACGGCGAGUGAAGCGGCAACAGCUCAAAUUUGAAAUCUGGCCCCCCCCGGGGGGCCCGAGUUGUAAUUUGCAGAGGAUGCUUUGGGCGAGGCGCCUUCCGAGUUCCCUGGAACGGGACGCCACAGAGGGUGAGAGCCCCGUCUGGUCGGACGCCGAGCCUCUGUAAAGCUCCUUCGACGAGUCGAGUAGUUUGGGAAUGCUGCUCAAAAUGGGAGGUAUAUGUCUUCUAAAGCUAAAUACCGGCCAGAGACCGAUAGCGCACAAGUAGAGUGAUCGAAAGAUGAAAAGCACCUUGAAAAGGGGGUUAAACAGUACGUGAAAUUGUUGAAAGGGAAGCGCUCGUGACCAGACUUGGGGCGGGCGGAUCAGCCGGCGUUCUCGCCGGCGCACUCCGCCCGUCCCAGGCCAGCAUCAGUUCGCGCCGGGGGACAAAGGCGGCGGGAACGUGGCUCCCCAGGGAGUGUUAUAGCCCGCCGCGCCAUGCCCCGGGGGCGGACUGAGGGCCGCGCAUCACUGCAAGGAUGCUGGCGUAAUGGUCACCAGCGACCCGUCUUGAAACACGGACC
rnacentral:rRNA from 1 species